UCGGCAUAUUAGGGUCAUUUAGGAUUUCUGUAAUAUCUGGAGAUCUAUCAACUGAAAUAAGGUGAAUUUUGAUGUAAUAAGUCGAGGACUUAAAGGCGGAGCUGCAUACAAGGUUUGAAUGAAAAUUAAUGGUUGGAGAAGGAGAAAUUGCAAGUCAAGAUUUAUCAUCAAUUUUUUAGGCAGCGGUCAAGGAACAUCAGUGUGGAUUUAUGAUGUUUUCUUGCAAUCUGUAAGUUAGAUUAGAUUAAAACUUCUUGAGCAUUUAGAAGACUUAUAAAGAUACUAGCAAUAGAAAUUUUACAACAAUUAGAUGGUCAGAUUGAAAAUUACAGCUUGUCGAAGCUCGCUGUCUAAGGUAAGGGUUUAAAAAUUAAAAAAUUAAAAA
rnacentral:lncRNA from 1 species